rnacentral:lncRNA from 1 species
CCCGAAAACUAUUGCUGUGAAUUUAGAUUUUAAUAAUAUUCGAUAAUUCAUGCACUAUAAGUAUUAACUCACCAUUAAAAUAAUCAUCAAGAAUCAUAAAAUAAUACUAUUUUUUAUGAUAUCAAAUAAAAACUACUUUCAUUCUCCAUCUCAUUCCAUCGAAAUUAUUUUCCCAACUACUUCUCCUUAAAAAAAAUAUGACAAUAUAUUUUACCGAAUAAUCACC